rnacentral:rRNA from 1 species
AUGGCGGUCAGGUAUUUGCUGCUCCCUCUGGCCCUGCUGGCUCUCGCAGCUACCUCGGCUGCGGUGGCUCAGCUGGAGAUCGGCUUCUACAGAAAAACAUGCCCGGACGCCGAGAAGAUCGUCCGCGGGGAGAUGGCCAAGAUCAUCGCCGCUGCGCCCAGCCUCGCCGGCCCGCUCCUCCGUCUCCAUUUUCACGACUGCUUCGUCAGGGGUUGUGACGCCUCUGUCCUGCUGGAAUCGACCGACGGCAACAUGGCGGAGAAGGACGCCAAGCCGAAUAAGAGCCUGCGAGGGUUCGGCUCCGUCGAGCGCGUGAAGGCCAAGCUCGAGGCCGCGUGCCCGGGUAUCGUCUCCUGCGCUGACGUCCUUACCCUCAUGUCCCGUGACGCCGUCGUGCUGGCCAAGGGUCCGUCCUGGCCGGUGGCUUUGGGCAGGAGAGACGGCAGAGUGUCCAGGGCCACGGAGGCUAGCAAAGAGCUGCCCCCGGCCUCCGGCGAUGUCCCUCUGCUCGCCAAGAUCUUCGCCUCCAAGGGCCUCGACCUCAAGGACCUCGUCGUCCUCUCCGGCGCCCACACGCUCGGCACGGCGCACUGCCCGUCCUUCGCCGACCGGCUCUACAACGGCACCGGCGAGAACGAUGCCUAUGGCCUCGUCGACCCAUCUCUGGACAGCGAAUACGCCGACAAGCUAAGGCUCAAGUGCAAGAGCGUUGAUGACCGUACUAUGCUGUCGGAGAUGGACCCCGGGAGCUUCAAGACCUUCGACACCAGCUACUAUCGCCACGUCGCCAAGCGGAGGGGCCUCUUCCGCUCCGAUGCCGCGCUCCUCUUCGACAACACCACCAGGGACCAAGGUUUUGGUUACCAGUCGAAAUUUCAAGAUUUCCCAUGGUUACCACGUAUUUCCGUGCCCCUCGGUAAAUCGUCAUACCGAGCAAAAAAUACCAUUUUUUUUGAAAUUUUUGAAUUUAAACACUCGAUUUACAGUCAGGUAUGUAGGGUCUAA